rnacentral:lncRNA from 1 species
AUUAUGAGGAAUCCAUAUAUGAUAAAAUAUACAAGCUCCUAAAAACCUGCAUACUUCUGUUUAAGAGUCAUAUGAAUCUUUCAUCCUUUCAAUUACAUCAACUUUGCUUGGAUCUGACUUUCUCCCAUAAAAUCCAUACAAAUGUCCAACAAUAAGAACUUUUUGUACUCCAAAUGUAGAUUUUGCUACUGAAAGUGUAAGAUGAAUCUCUUCAAGUCGAGUUAAAAUCUUUUCACAAUCUUGUAUAUGGUCAAAAACA